rnacentral:lncRNA from 1 species
GAAGAAUAAAAGUAAACUUUUACCUCGUUCCAUACACCAAAGCACUCGAGAUUUAUCCAUAUUUAAGUAUGAGAACCUACAGAAGAAAAAAAUAGGAGUAUAUCAUAAUGUUUUAGAAUAUGGCAAUGAAUUUUUUUAUUACACCAAAAGCACAGAUGUUAUGUGAACAACUUCAAGUUCCUGCUGCUGUGACUUCCCUACUAUGAUGGACUGCAACAUGGAACUGCAAGCCAAAAGGAACCCUGUAUCACUUUCUCUCAUAUACUGCUUUUGUCAGAGUGUUUUAUCACAUCAAUCAGAAAGAAACUCAGGCACAGAGAGGUGGAAUUACUGCUGAAGUGAACUCCCACUACCUGCCUUGGGAGGUGGAGAGCAAUUCAAACUGGAAUAUAAUUUCUAAACAGAGAAUUUCAUGAUGUUGUAAAUUUUACAGAUGUCAAGCUCUAAGUUAAAACAGUUCUGUAGGGUGGUCCUGUGUGCUCCCAAACCACCAGUAGCCUCAUGGAGAACCCAAGUUGGCCUCGAAAAUGGGAAUAAACAUUGUAUAAGUCAAAGCCAGUAACAAUGCAAUCCUGCUACAAUGAAAAUCUUGUGUUACUUUAGAAGUCUACUUAUUACCAGGCCGUGGAGACACACACUUUAAAUCCCAGUACUCGAGAGGCAGAGGCAGAGGCAGGUGGAUCUCUGUGAGUUCAAGACCAGCCUGGUCUACAAGUUGAGUUGAAGGACAGACACUCACAGAGAAACCCUGUCUCGAAAAACCAAAAAUCAAACAAAGAAGCCUACUUAUUUCCAGCAACACUAUAUACAACCUAGCACAUACAAUGAAAUGGUAACUCCUUGCUCUGUUAGAGCUAAAUCAUUAAAUGUAUUCGGGUAAAUUUAUUUCCGUGCUGUGCUAAACAUUACAAUAUAAACUUUGAGUAGAAAAGUGGGAUCCAAGAAAUGUGCUUUCUCUUUGAACUGACCUUGGGUAAUAACAACUAUAUGCUAAGUGGGAAAGUGUUGAAUUUUCUUGCUUUUUACACAUUUUCCUUGCUAUUACAUAUAAUUACAGACCUUAUGUGUGCUUCUCAGUACUGUUUUUUUAUUUAAUGUGCUGACUAGUCUGUCAACUUGACACACAUACUAGUUAUCUGAAGAGAGAGAACCUCAAUUGAGAAAAUGCCUGCAUAAGAUUCAGCUGUAAGGCACUUCUUAGUGAUUUAUGGGGAAGGGCCCAG